rnacentral:rRNA from 1 species
UUGAACGCUGGCGCAUGCCUUACACAUGCAAGUCGAACGGCAGCACGGGUGCUUGCACCUGGUGGCGAGUGGCGAACGGGUGAGUAAUACAUCGGAACAUGUCCUGUAGUGGGGGAUAGCCCGGCGAAAGCCGGAUUAAUACCGCAUACGAUCUACGGAUGAAAGCGGGGGACCUUCGGGCCUCGCGCUAUAGGGUUGGCCGAUGGCUGAUUAGCUAGUUGGUGGGGUAAAGGCCUACCAAGGCGACGAUCAGUAGCUGGUCUGAGAGGACGACCAGCCACACUGGGACUGAGACACGGCCCAGACUCCUACGGGAGGCAGCAGUGGGGAAUUUUGGACAAUGGGCGAAAGCCUGAUCCAGCAAUGCCGCGUGUGUGAAGAAGGCCUUCGGGUUGUAAAGCACUUUUGUCCGGAAAGAAAUCCUUGGUUCUAAUAUAGCCGGGGGAUGACGGUACCGGAAGAAUAAGCACCGGCUAACUACGUGCCAGCAGCCGCGGUAAUACGUAGGGUGCGAGCGUUAAUCGGAAUUACUGGGCGUAAAGCGUGCGCAGGCGGUUUGCUAAGACCGAUGUGAAAUCCCCGGGCUCAACCUGGGAACUGCAUUGGUGACUGGCAGGCUAGAGUAUGGCAGAGGGGGGUAGAAUUCCACGUGUAGCAGUGAAAUGCGUAGAGAUGUGGAGGAAUACCGAUGGCGAAGGCAGCCCCCUGGGCCAAUACUGACGCUCAUGCACGA